UGGGGAAUAUUGCACAAUGGGCGCAAGCCUGAUGCAGCGACGCCGCGUGGGGGAUGAAGGCCUUCGGGUUGUAAACUCCUUUCAGCAGGGACGAAGCUUUUGUGACGGUACCUGCAGAAGAAGCACCGGCUAACUACGUGCCAGCAGCCGCGGUAAUACGUAGGGUGCGAGCGUUGUCCGGAAUUACUGGGCGUAAAGAGCUCGUAGGUGGUUUGUCGCGUCGUCUGUGAAAUUCCGGGGCUUAACUCCGGGCGUGCAGGCGAUACGGGCAUAACUUGAGUGCUGUAGGGGAGACUGGAAUUCCUGGUGUAGCGGUGAAAUGCGCAGAUAUCAGGAGGAACACCGAUGGCGAAGGCAGGUCUCUGGGCAGUUACUGACGCUGAGGAGCGAAAGCAUGGGUAGCGAACAGGAUUAGAUACCCUGGUAGUCCAUGCCGUAAACGGUGGGCGCUAGGUGUGGGGGUCUUCCACGACUUCUGUGCCGUAGCUAACGCAUUAAGCGCCCCGCCUGGGGAGUACGGCCGCAAGGCUAAAACUCAAAGGAAUUGACGGGGGCCCGCACAAGCGGCGGAGCAUGUGGAUUAAUUCGAUGCAACGCGAAGAACCUUACCUGGGCUUGACAUAUGCAGGAUUGGCACAGAGAUGUGUUGUCCCUUGUGGUCUGUAUACAGGUGGUGCAUGGUUGUCGUCAGCUCGUGUCGUGAGAUGUUGGGUUAAGUCCCGCAACGAGCGCAACCCUUGUCUUGUG
rnacentral:rRNA from 1 species